rnacentral:lncRNA from 1 species
CAGGCAGUUAAAAGAACAGUUCAGUUGGAUAUAACUUACAGUACGUCACACAAAUCUGGAGUGCCCAAGGAACAUUAGUUUCAGGGAACACACUGAGAUUAUAACCAGCCUUUUUGCCAGGGGCAGCUUGUAACUCAGAAAGUCAUGUUUCAUUUAGGAUGUGCUGUAUAAUGUUGAAGGGGAAAGUAACUAUUUUGUUUUGUUGUGUUUCUUCCCAGUCCAAGAAGAAAGCAUUUGGAGAAGUGCUACACAUGCUCAACUGAACUUCCUGUCAAAUUGUUCUCACUCGUUUGGGCACAAGUCUGCUUAAGCCAUCUCUCAUUAACAUUUACUCUUGCCCGAAGCCCUCUACGCCCCCAACCCCUGCUAAUCUUCCACAAGCAAGCUGAUCACACUGGGAUCUCCUUUUCCCAGACACGUUUGAUUCUCACUUUCUCCUGAACCUAGAAAUGUGCUUCCCACCAAAGCAUGCCAGGCACUAACUCGUCCCUACUGAAAGGGGCUGUUAAAAGCUCAUCUUCUUUCCAGAUGGUAGUGAGGUGUGAGGUGAUCCUUUCUCUUUCUUUUUUUUUUUUUUUUACUUUUAGCUACCCCUCAAUUCUGGUGUUCAGUAACAAUGUAUUCCACUUAAAAGAGAGAAAUCAUAUUAAUUAUUCUAAGAUAUAAACACUUAAUUUUAUUCAUGCUCUUGAAUUACUUUCCUUUCUACCGCAUGUUUGUGUAGCUGUUAUAUGAGUCCUUUCUACUGAUGUAGCUGUCAUUCCUUCAACUCAGUUCUUGCCAAACACUGAGCUAUGUCUGGAGAUACAAAGAUAACUACUCUUGUUGAAGAGAUGCCAGUUUAGUGGGGGAGACAGACAUGUAAACAGAUCUGUAUCUGAGAUAGAUGGCCUGGGUAGGAAAAGAAUAUAUAUAGCACAAAUAACUCAGUGGACCUGCAAAAACAGAGCUUGAGGCCAUGAUAUACCACAAAGACCCACCAAGGCACAAGCACUGUCAACAUGAAGAAUAGAAAAGUUUAAGCAUGUUUUAAAGAAUCAUACCUUUCACCGAAACCGACAAAGCAACUCUAUAUAAUGUCAAGAACAAUGGCUGUGGCCUUGCAUCUUGUUUCCACCGCUACAGAUCAAAACAGGCAAAUAACAUCUCUGUGUUUCGUUUCUUCAUCUAUGAAAUGAAGAUAAUUGUUCCCAUCUCAUGGGAAUGUGGUGAGGAUUCAUUGUAAUGAUGCAAAUGAAAUAACUAAGCCUGACUGCCUGAAACUCACACGGGAGAUCUUCAAAGAAUGUUAGUUCUCUUCUCCAUCUAUUCUUACCAACAAAAGAAUGCAGAAGACCUAUUUUCACCAGAAGGAGGACUGGAACCAGAGUUAGCAGGUAUGGAGUCACAUGGGUGAAUCAAUAAAACCCACUCAAAAUUUCAUCUAUGAAAAACCUGUCCUUCUUUAUUAUACAUUAGAAGACCCAAAGAUGGUUCUGGAAGCAAACACACUGAAUUCUGGAAAGGGGAGGAAAAGGAACAGAAUUGGCAUUUGUUAUGUGCUUCAUGUGCUACUGGUUGCACCCAGCUUUUCUAUACAUAAUCGUAUUACUUAAGGCACCACAGAACUCUAUACAGCAGUUAGAACUGUGAUGGAACCAGUGAGGCUGGCUUCCUCUUAUCCAAGUAUGACUGGAGGACAGGGCUCAAAUGACCGUGCAGGUGCAUCUGGGCGGGGGGGCGGGGGUAUAACAAUGAAGAGGAGGUGCAAUAACAGCCCCGUGGGGAUGAUGACAGACAGAAUAUGCUCAUGAAUAAGAAUGUCUUACUUAUCCCAUCUUAAUUACUUUCUUCUGUCUCUUUCUUCAUGUUUAAGUAUUAAGAGCAGUGAGGUGGUAAGAAAUGGUAUGGGAGUCAUAUCAGAAUCCUUUGGAGAGAAGAGAUGGGCACAUGUGUCAUCUAAAAAAGCAUUUUCAAAAUUAUAAUAAAAUACACAACAUUUGCAAAGCAGGCUUUCUGCCCGUUGUGACCGUGAAAACAAAGCAGCUGAAGAGGCCUGAUGUGAAAGUGACCUCCUCUGUGCUCUGUCACUGGCAAGAACAGGAAAAACACUUGGGGCAAGCAAGCCAGCCCCACUUUCACACAUGACUCACACGACUGAAGGAAAG